AUGGGAGAGCAGGUGCCUAAGUCGGUGCUGUUUGUGUGUCUGGGUAACAUCUGUUGGUCACCCACUGCAGAAGCAGUUUUCAGAUCAAAACAUUUCAAAGUCCUGCGUGCAGUGGCUCAUGCCUGUAAUCCUAGUACUUUCGGAGGCCAAGGCGGGCAGAUCACCUGAGGUUAGGAGUUUGAGAUCAGCCUGACCAAUAUGAUGAAACCCCGUCUCUACUAAAAAUACAAAAAUUAGCUGGGCAUGGUGGCAUAUACCCGUAAUCCAGCUAAGCGGGAGGCUGAGGCAGGAGAAUCGGUUGAACCCGGGAGGCGGAGGUUGCACUGAGUCAGGAUUGCGCCACUGCACUCCAGCCUGGGCGACAGAGCGAGACUCUGGCUCAAAAAAAAAAAAAAAAACAUUUCAGAGAAUUGGAGGGUAGACAGUGUGGUGACGUCUGGGUACGAGAUAGGGAAUCCCCUGACUACCGAGGGCACAGCUGCAUGAAGAGACACAACAUUCCCAUGAGCCACGUUGCCCAGCAGAGAUAGGAAUAGAAAAAGCAAUCAAGUUAAAAACUGCAAAGCUAAAAUUGAACUACUUGGGAGCUGUGAUCACAAAACCAACUUAUUAAUGCAGAUCCCUAUUAUGGAAAUGGCUGCCUUUUGAGACGGUGUACCAGCAGUGUGUCAGGUGCUGCAGAACGUUCUUGGAGGAAGCCC
rnacentral:lncRNA from 10 species